rnacentral:rRNA from 1 species
UAAUAGCCCAGAGGGUGACGGUACCUUCAGAAGAAGCCCCGGCUAACUACGUGCCAGCAGCCGCGGUAAUACGUAGGGGGCAAGCGUUGUCCGGAUUUACUGGGCGUAAAGAGCGUGUAGGCGGCUAGACAGGUCUGUUGUGAAAACUGGAGGCUUAACCUCCAGACGUCGACAGAAACCGUCUGGCUAGAGUCCGGAAGAGGAGAGUGGAAUUCCUGGUGUAGCGGUGAAAUGCGCAAAUAUCANGAAGAACACCAAUGGCGAAGGCAGCUCUCUGGGACGGUACUGACGCUGAGACGCGAAAGCGUGGGGAGCGAACAGGAUUAGAUACCCUGGUAGUCCACGCCGUAAACGAUGGGUGCUAGGUGUGGGAGGUAUCGACUCCUUCCGUGCCGCAGCUAACGCAUUAAGCACCCCGCCUGGGGAGUACGGCCGCAAGGCUAAAACUCAAA